rnacentral:rRNA from 1 species
AAGUCCCGUAACGAGCGCAACCCUUGUCCUGUGUUGCCAUGCCGAAAGGCGGAACUCGCAGGAGACCGCCAGCGAUAAGCUGGAGGAAGGUGGGGAUGACGUCAAGUCCUCAUGGCCUUUAUGUCCAGGGCUACACACGUGCUACAAUGGACGGUACAAUACGUCGCUAACCCGCGAGGGGGAGCCAAUCGCAAAAAACCGUUCUCAGUUCGGAUUGCAGGCUGCAACUCGCCUGCAUGAAGCUGGAAUCGCUAGUAAUGGCAGAUCAGCACGCUGCCGUGAAUACGUUCCCGGGCCUUGUACACACCGCCCGU